UUUAACUUGUUCAGCUGAAGUGUCUUGCCAGCAUUUGAAAACACGUUCACUACGUCCUGAUGUACGUUCCCUUACAGAAGUGGCUUUCUUGUAAAAGAAUCAAAAUCAUAACUAAAAUCAGUGUCUAUGAAAUAUAAGUAAUUACUGGUGUUAUAUUAUUAUAAAUUAAUUUUAUGUAUUAAUUUAUCAACAUUUUAAAAACAAGGAGACAUCGUUGUCAAGGUCAAGCCUCCAAAACAUUUGGUAUCUCUGAAGAGCACAAGAUGAAUCUUAAACGGACUUGAAACUGGCAUUUAUAACUUGAGAAAUGCAUUUAAAUCAAAUGGCCACAUAAAUGAAUUGCUGAGUCCCAGGAGGUUAAAGGCACAGUAGAGAGAGCACAGGAAAUGAUGGGAGAAAGGGAUCAGGAAAUAUCUUUACACAGACUUUCCCGCAUAAGCACCAAGGCCCAAUGUGCUCUAACCACUUGGCCACGUCUCUAACGUUAAAGACUGCUAAAGAGUAUCAGAAGAGGGCAGCCAGAUCUGAUCUUCCUUGACCCCAAUUUGCCGCACCUGCAGAAAGCCAAAUGCUGGUAGUUUACGGCCGUUUAAUUGGAGGGAAAACAGCCCUGUGAACUGCUGGCAGCUGCCUUCAUUCAGAUCUGUUACAAAUUACUGCUAAAUAGAGGAACCUUUUUCAUUUUCCCCACACAUGUGCUUACAACCCCGCGAUGACAUCAUGGCACUCUAGCCGUGCAGACGGUGGUGGAAGCGAAACCGCACCGAAAUUGAGUUGCCUGAGCUAAUUUAGAGAAAAGUAAAAGGCUGUUCUCUGGUUACUUUAAGCAGCACAUUUGAUAUGAAAGGGGAAGCUUUGAAGGAGAGGCCCGUCGGCGGCAGUCUCUUAUUAUCUGGACACGCACUGACCCGAGGAGAGAUGGUUGUGUCAAUCACAGAUUACAGCCUGCGGGACCUGAGGCGGGCUGCUGAAAAUGAACCGUGGUGUUUGUUGGAACGCAGCUCUCUGGCCGACAGGCUCAGACGACCUUGGCCGGUCCCGCAUUUGACUGACUGCAUUAGACUGUGUUUUGUUCCGAGACUGAAAGGGAUACCGGGCUGACGGCGGCCUCUCGAUCCCUGUGAAGGAUCAGGCUGACACUCCCAGUGCUGUUGACGCCCCUCGAUCCAUCUUCAUUGGCCAGCGGAGCUCCGUGACCCUCCGGAUAGGGCGGCCAAAGUAGCGCAACAUCACAGGUCUUUAAAAAGCAAUUCGUGGGAAAAAUGGGCAGAAACUUUCACGUUGACAAAGCGCUAAACUGUGAUGUGCACUAAUGCACAUGUGCUUUUGAUUCUUCGUCCCACGUUAAUGGCAAAUGUCAACCUGAAGUAAUAAUUUUCGUCUAUGUGACCGAAUGAAAACGGUCAGAUUUAUGACAUUUGUUAUCAAACAAUAAAAUUAACCUCCAUACAUUUUAUAUUAAAGUAUUUUUUAGCUUAUCAUAAAAUAAUUCAUCUUUAAUAUAGGAAUAAGUGUUACAAGGAAAUCUAAACCUUUUUAAUUUUCGAUUUU